GGACGAACGCUGGCGGCGUGCUUAACACAUGCAAGUCGAACGGGUCUGCCCUGUUUUUUGCGGGGUGGGUCAGUGGCGAACGGGUGAGUAACACGUGAGUAACCUGCCCCUCACUUCUGGAUAACCGCUUGAAAGGGUGGCUAAUACGGGGUGUUCUGGCUGUGCCGCACGGUGUGGCUGGGAAAGAUUCACUUUUGUGGUGUUUUGGUGGGGGAUGGGCUCGCGGCCUAUCAGCUUGUUGGUGGGGUGAUGGCCUGCCAAGGCUUUGACGGGUAGCCGGCCUGAGAGGGUGGGCGGUCACACUGGGACUGAGAUACGGCCCAGACUCCUGCGGGAGGCAGCAGUGGGGGGUAUUGCACAAUGGGCGGAAGCCUGAUGCAGCGACGUCGCGUGAGGGAUGGAGGCCUUCGGGUUGUGAACCUCUUUCGCCGGUGAAGAAGGUCCUGCUCUUUGUGGUGGGGUUGACGGUAGCCGGGUUAUGAAGCGCCGGCUAACUACGU
rnacentral:rRNA from 1 species